GCCGCAAUCAAGUAAUUCAGAUGGCAGAGCAUGAGACUCUUAAUCUCAAAGUUGUGGGUUCAAGCCCCACAUUGGACA